CCUGCGCCGCCGCCGCAGUCACAUUCACGAUCGUCAUGGCGAAUAUUACGGCUCAGAGCAACUCCAUAAUUUCAUUUAGAGAAUUACCAUUUAGUCGUCGAAGCAAUCAGGAAAAAUUGGCUGUUAAAGAAUUAGGACCACCCCGACCAAAUUUAAAUAUAAAACAAAUAUCAAAGAAAGGAGGCAAGUCGUACACCAGGGGAUUUUCGCGGUGCUGGUACGAGAGGAAAAACUGGCUAGCAGGAUGCGAGGUAGCCAACGGACUCUUCUGCUACCCCUGCGUCCUCAUCCACCCUGAUGGCUGCACCACGGAAACACCUUGGACUACGACAGGUUUCACAGAUAUGCAUCAUCUGUCCGAAAAAAAUAAAAAGCAUGAAACAUCGAGGAUCCACAUGGACAGCUGCUUAAAACUGUCUGCGUUUGGGAGCGUCAACAUUGCUAUGCAGUUGGACGAUGGCUACAGGCUAGCACUGCGUCGGGACAAUGAUGAGGUGAGCAAAAACCGCCACAUUCUGGGCCGCCUGAUCGACGGUGUUAAGUUCUGCAGUGUAUUCGAGUUGGCCUUGCGAGGCUGAGACGACAGCGAGGGAUCCAGAAACCCCGGAAUUUUUCGAGGAUUGGUACAGUUAAUUGCAUCCCUAGAUGAAGUUUUUGAGGAGCAUUUAAAAACGGCCACCGUCUUUAAAGGCACAUCCAAGACGGUCCAAAAUGAGCUGCUCGACUGCAUGGCAGCUGUCAUUAGGGCACGCAUUACGGAGGAGGUGCAGUCGGCCAGCUUCGUUGCGAUACAAGCUGACGAAACAACAAUCUCCAGAGCAGCAGCAAGUAGCAGCAGGAACUACAGGAAAAAGGAGGGCCUUGGGAGAGCAAGACAAGCAGAGGCUGUCUAAGGAAGUCUGUGACACCAUCUUGGGCCAUGCAAACGAGAGGUUCUCUUUCACAAGCCACCUUGUGAGUGCAACGCUGCUACAAGGAGACCUGUUUGAGCAAUACUGCCAUAUGUUCCCUGAUGAGGCUCUGAACACCACUGCCAAGGCAUACCCCAUGCUGAAUAAGGCGAAGCUCAAGACUGAACUGUCCCUUAUCUACGAGAGUCCAGAUUUCAAGGGCUGCAGUGGUGCAUUGGCACUCUACCAGGUUCUACAGAGGAACAACCUCCAUGAGACCCUAUCUGAGACUGUGGCUCUGUUGAACAUCCUCAUAACCACUCCCAUGACAACUGCUGAAGCUGAAAGGUGUUUCUCGACCUUAAAGAGAAUCAAGACAUUCCUGCGAAACCCAAUGGGACAGGAUCGUCUCAAUGCUGUGGCCAUGCUUUCCAUGGAGAGGGAACUAGUCAGGAACAUGCCUGAUUUUAAUAAGAGGUUCAUUGAUCACUUUGCUGCUUUGAAAGAGAGACGAGCAAAAUUUCAAUACAAGUGAGAAAUGUUGUUUUAAUGUUGUUGUGUUGUUGCACUACUCAAAUGUUGAAUUGGAAAUAGCUGUAUUAAUUGCAUAUCAUUAGCAAUUUUUUUGUUUGCUUUGUAAUGUACAUGUGUCUUAUGGGUAAAUUCUUGUUAAAUAGCACCCAAUGUUUUGAUUAUCACCUUGGAUCAUUCUUGUUUUAGGAAUACUGUAAAUAUUGCAAUUAGUAGGCUAUGCCACUAGUUUUUAUAUAUGCUGUCUUCAAGUUGUAAACAUGUGAUAAGAACUGUAAAUAUUAUAAUUACUAGGCUAUGCUAACAUCCAUUUUUUUGUUUAAUCAGAACAUAACUGCUGCACUUAAAAUAAAUGAUAUCAGAUGAGAAAGAGUAUUGUGAUUUAUUGUAAAGCAGUCUCUUUUAACUUUCAGAGGUAUUUAAGGAGGC
ensembl:lncRNA